rnacentral:rRNA from 1 species
AAUGAACGUUGGCGGCGUGGAUUAGGCAUGCGAGUCGUGCGAUAACCCCGCAAGGGGGGAAAGCGGCGCAAGGGAGAGUAACGCGUGGGUACCUACCCUCAGGUCCGGAAUAGCUGCGGGAAACUGCAGGUAAUGCCGGAUGAUAUCCCCGGAUCAAAGGUGUGAUUCCGCCUGGGGAGGGGCCCGCGUUCUAUUAGCUUGUUGGUAGGGUAAUGGCCUACCAAGGCUACGAUGGAUACCGGGUGUGAGAGCAUGACCCGGCUCAUUGGGACUGAGACACUGCCCAGACACCUACGGGUGGCUG